GCUCGGGCCUGCGCAGUGCUACCCUGGUGCCUGAACCUAGGACGCACAGGCCGCGUGGCAGUCACUGCCUUUUGGGCACCGUGAGGCUUUGCAAUCGAGUGGAAAAAUCAAGUGGAAGAAGAGCUUUCUCUUCAGCACAGGAUUUAAAGAAGUAAAAAUAAGGAUGCCAUUGAAGCUAUUUAAGAUGAAUUCUAAUGUACCUACUAAAGACCCAGGUGUGCUUUCCUCAGCCCCAUAUUUUCAAAUGUUUCCUUGAGUCAUGAACCCAGUGGACUUGGAGUUAACCUAUGUCCCACAGAGCAGGCCUUGGGAGAAUACUGAGCUGCCA